rnacentral:rRNA from 1 species
CGUCCAGACUCCUACGGGAGGCAGCAGUGGGGAAUAUUGGGCAAUGGGCGCAAGCCUGACCCAGCAACGCCGCGUGAAGGAAGAAGGCUUUCGGGUUGUAAACUUCUUUUCUCAGGGACGAAGAAAGUGACGGUACCUGAGGAAUAAGCCACGGCUAACUACGUGCCAGCAGCCGCGGUAAUACGUAGGUGGCAAGCGUUAUCCGGAUUUACUGGGUGUAAAGGGAGCGUAGACGGUCCUGCAAGCCAGAUGUGAAAGCCCGGGGCUCAACCCCGGGACUGCAUUUGGAACUGUAAGGCUAGAGUGUCGGAGAGGCAGGCGGAAUUCCUAGUGUAGCGGUGAAAUGCGUAGAUAUUAGGAGGAACACCAGUGGCGAAGGCGGCUUACUGGACUGUAAAUGACGCUGAGGCUCGAAAGCGUGGGGAGCAAACAGGAUUAGAUACCCGAGUAGA